AUCCAUCUGAUGAAUCCUAAAAUAGGACGAAACAUGCGUCAAACUGGAU
rfam:Schistosoma mattheei strain Denwood, Zambia genome assembly, scaffold: SMTD_contig0008514